UUUUUUUUUUUUUUUUUUUUUGAGUCUGCACAGGAAAGCUCCGCUUCCAGGCAGAGGAGGUUGGGGAGAGCGACUCUAUCAGGUACAGCACUAGUGGCUGUUUGUGAAGAUGGAGGGGGAUUAUGCCUCGGAUUCCUCUGAAAUAUUGGCCAAAGGCUUCAAAGGAUCCGCAGCGGGAGGCGAGGGUGGGGGAGCAUCUCCCCAGCUCUCACCCACCCCUUCCCACUUUGCGUCUACCAAAUGACAGGCUGGUGCUCGCUCUGGGUGAUUUUGGCCUUGGCCUCAGCCAAGCAGCUGAUGCAGAGGAGGGCCUGGUUUGCAAGACUGACAGAACUCUGCAUGCUAGAGAAAGAAGGAAAAGAAAAAAAAAAUUUUUUUCCAAGCAGUCCUUGGGAAAUUUUCUUGUUCUCUCUCGAUUUAUUUAUUUUUAAUUUUUUUACCGACUGUUUUCCAAAUUUGAUCAGCCCCAGCCCCUCCCUCCACUCCCACCCUACUGCCUUUCCCCCCACCCCCACGCCCGGCCAAAGCAUAAACCAUAGAGUUACGGUCUUCUCUCGAUUUUGGAGUAUCGCUUCCUGCCCCCGCCUUCCCUCCCCGCCCCAUUCUCUGUCCUAUUGAACACCUCGCCUAGCCUAGCGCACUGCGAGCUCACAUUCUCCCCCCGGCUCUGGAUGGCGCUCCUGGAAGCUCUGCAGCCGAGCUCCACUUCAAAUGGAUGGGAUCAGGUGACCAGAGUGUGGCAGCUCCUGGCUUCUGUUGAAGUAGACUGUUAGCAUCCUGUGUUGGCUGUUAUGGACGCCUGUGUAUAUGGCUGACACUGAGGCUGGUGGAAACUCAUCGGCGGGGUCUAUUCCUUGAGAGCAACACGCAGUACUACCAGAGCGUAACACCAACAGCUCAGUACCUGGUGGUUGACCUCAGAACAUCUCAGCUGAAGUCCCAGCAUGCCCCAUGCCUCCAACUUUUAAACUCCACAGUUAAUCUGAAAAUUGUGCUCAAUUAAAAUGGGCAUGAGAAUAUAUUAUAUCUGCAUUGUCCACACAUGUGUUGUAUAUGGCUAGACAGUGGUUUCACUGACAUAGGUAUGCUGGAACCACUGGUUUGGAAUAAACGAAUAGGUUAAAUAUUCAACUCUUGUAUUCAAUACAAAGGAAAGAAAUGAAGAGACUGGGAAAGAUAAAAUAUGUGCUACUUUGCAAGAUUUCUUAAAAACAAAAUGAAAGGAGGGAUGCUACCUCCUCGCUUUGGUACCUCUGUAAAAUCGUUAUGCUUGGUGAAUUUAAAGGUGAUAAGAAUAGAAAUGGAUUUUUCUAAAUACCAUGGGAUGAAAGAAAUAAUUGAGUGCAUUUGAUAUUGCGUUCUUUGGGGGGAAAUCAAUGCCUACGACUCUUCUUUAGAAGCUGGGAAGAUUUUUAUCAGGAUUUUAAUUCAAUUCGACAAAGCUAUUGGUAAUACCAAACCACAUUUAAAAAGGAUCCUCUCUUGAGGCGAUUGUUAGCAUUUUCUAGUUUGUAGUUUUCUGGGAUGAUAACUUUUCAUGGCAGGGUAAUUUCAGUGAUUCAGGUCAGCCUCACAUUAGGGAAGAAGGACGUGGCUUACCUUCCCUUUGUUGCAGAAAAUUCGGGCGUACAGUUUCCUUUAAACAGUUUUACUCUUCUCAGCCCAACCUUUCUCUCCAUUUUUGGAAAAUGACUAAAUCAACCCAGACUCCAAAUGCUUUCAUCUUUGAAAGAUUUUGUAAUGGUUGUAACCUCAUUGUACACAGAGAGAGGAAAGUGAAGGAAGCUGCUCUUGUUCCAUUUUUAAAUGCUUAUCUCAAUUUUACUCAUUUACCCCAAAUUACAGUCAAGAAAGCAUUUUGCAUCAGAAUGCUGAAUUGAGAAGUGUGCAACAAUUGUGCUGCGUCUUUUGUUGAAACCUCUUGUACGGCUGUAAUUUAACUAUUACUUGGCAGCCUUUGAUAGAAUGUGCUUCAAAGCUUACAGUUAUUUAACAGAUUUUUUUCCAUUAGUUUAUAUAAAAUGAUUAAUGAUUCCCCAUCCCAUUUCAACUAAUGUGCAUGCAUAGCUAUGUGGAAAUUAUGGUGGUGCAUCAGUUUAACUUAUGGAUAAUACAUAUUAUCACAUUAUACAUUUGAAAGAUUGGCAAACAUUUGGUGCUUUUUGAAGGCAAAAUAUGUAUGCAGCUGACGUGACAGAAAUGUGUGCAUGGAUCAAUAAAGAUAUGAUAGAUGUGAUUUCUCUGUGAUUUCAAGUGAUAGAGGGACAUAAUUCAAUACAAACGUUUCAGUUUGUACUAGCAGGCACUCCUGCUUUCCCAUGUUUUCAAGUGGAUUGCUCCUGUUCUCAGGCUGCUACUGUAAUGCAGGUUGGCCAGGCAUUCAGCAGUGCGUGCAACACAACAGAUUUCUAUAUUUCAGCAGGCAACUGCUUCAGUGCAAGGGCAGGUUUCUCAACACCCCCUCUUCCUCAUGGAGCCCAUCAGCGAAGUUCAGUGAAAUGAAUAACAUAAUUGGUGGUUGGUUCAAUCACUACCAGUCUAGACUAGCCCAGACGCAUCAAUUAGAGGGGACUGUCUUUUAAAGGGAGAGUGUAGCCGAAACAAGCAAGCUAUUAUUGAUACUGAUCUUUAAAAGCGCAAAUCCAGCCUGGCAGAUAAAAAAAAAUAAAAUAAAAUAAAAAAUAAAAAGGUGGUGAGCUGCAGUGGGGGUGCAAUGGGGGAAGAAAAGAGACCCAGGGAACUGGAGCUGGGGUGCAGAAGGACAGGAAGCUGGAGCGAAAGGGGGGAUAAUGAGUGGAAUGCAGUCCUGUACCUCCUUGGAGCACAGUUACAAUUCAGUUCACAGGGUGCAGUGGCUCACCGUUUUUUUUAACUAGCAUGCACACACACACACACACACACACAGACCCCUUCCCUAACACGACCACCUCCUUUAAAAAAGUCUUCUUUUUUGCCAGCUUACAACCAACACAGUUGAAAUCUAACAGCUUUAAGAAGCCGCACUGAUAACAAGAAGAACCAGCUGAAACCCCUUUUGCAAUAUUUACCCAAAAGAAAAAUAUGUUAAAUGCUUAAUUUUCAAAUCUCUAUUCUUUUUGUUUUAUUUUGUUUUAAGAGAGCAAACUAGAGAAGAGUACUCAUUUUUAAAAUCUGGUACUGGAACCAAUUUUAUGGGCAAAACACCUUUAUACGAAAAGUUUACAGUUUUCCAUUGAAUACAGUUAAGUAAGAAGAAUGUAACAAAAGGCUUUGGUGAUUUGGUAGUUUUUUUUCUUCUCUUCUCUUCUUCUUUUCUGAGGGAGAAAAACAGAUGAUUUAGAAAGUGUUAGGAACAUAUCAAGCCCCAGGGAAAGAAAACGUUUGAUUGGUAUUAAUUAAAACACUGCUAAUAUAUUCUAAUAAAAUCAGAUUUAACAUUCUAAACUAAUCCGCCUAGCAUGUCAAAGGCAAAGAAAAGUAUUAUCUUUCUUAUUUGCAUCUAGACAACUCGAAUGCAUUUGCUCAUUCGGCAGAAUUAAUUUCUUCCACCAGUCUAUUAAAUCUCCUCACAGAUUUGGUCAAACUUAUUCUUUCAGACUAGAAGGGAGUGGGGUGGGGAAACCAUGGAAGGUAUUUGGAAGAGGAGUGACUGUAUUUAGGGCCGGGUUUCUGGCUGCCUGUAGUCUUUUCUCUCCAUUUGCUGUAACGGGGUGUGGAGAACAGCGGGGAUUGCACAGUGAUAAAUGGCUCAGGGGUUUUGUUUUGUUUUUUUUUUUUUCCCCUUUCUCUCCUUCUACCUGCUGGCUUAUUUAAAAUUUUCAGUUGCCAAAUUAUAUGAAUGGCAUUUAUUCUGUGCGGUCAGCUUGCUCAUCAGCAUCUAAUUUUUGUUUUCUAAUUUCAGAAUCCAUGCUAUCACAGAUUCCUAAUGGAAAUUAAAUAAAUAAAUAAAUAAAUAAAUAAAUAAAUAAAUAAAUAAAUAAAUAAAUAAAGGUCCUUAUAACCAGAAACCCAUCAUCUUUUCUCGGCUAUUUUUUUUUCUAACUUCAAUCCUAAGGGCAAGUGAGGAAAAGAAUGCAAAAUUUUAUUCACCAAGAGCUGAGUUCUUUGUUCUAUUUUUAAGUUAAAUAUUUCUCUGGAAGAAUUCCAUAUUUUUCUGGAGCAUGGCGUUUUAGCUCUUUAUUGCUAAGCUCACCCAACUGAUAAUAUUGUCCUCAGCUGGUAUUAUAGCUAAAAUGUUUCGCCUGUCACCGGUCUCCCGAAACUAUGAUAGCCCAUGCAAAUAUGAGGCUAACACAAAAAGAUGAAUGGGCCGGAAAUGCUGAAGACCAUAUGGGUGUGUUUCCACAAGGAGGGAGUCCGCAGGCUGUGGAGAGGUGGACUGACUAUAGUCUGCACCAGGGAGGUGGCUGCAGACUUCUUCCUCCAUUGCCUUUUCAAGUCUCCAAGGUAAAAGAGCAAUCGCGGUUUGGUUUCACUUGUAUUGUUCUAUAAUCCAGGCAAUAAAUGCUAAUUAGUAAUGCUCAAGGAUCCGACCAUUCAGAGUAAUUAUCAUAAUUUACUUCUUCCUCGUUAAAGACAUUCCUUGCUGAUUUAAAAAAAAAAAAGAAAGAAAGAAAGUCGUCCCUUCCCCAUGGCAUUGCAGUGAGGAUUCACUAGAGAGACGUUCAAGGUACACUCAGAGCCUCGAGGCUGCAUUUGAAGUCACCGACAUGUGCUGCGCCUUAUUGGGAAUGGAAGUGCAGCUUGAUUUCUAUGAUGAAAUUCAUAUAAAUGCAUCAGCUUCUGCACAUGCACAGGAAUGUAUGGUUUUAUUUUACAAACCCCAAGGCUCCUCCUUUGGGUCCCACCCCUUUUUCUAAAACCACUUAUGAGCUGAACAAAGGAAAGUACUAACUAUAGAGGCAUCAUUAAAUGUGAACAGUCACUGCACUGUAAAGUGUGUGCUAUGACAACAUAUUUCACUGCACAAAAGUGCAGAUAAUUAAAUAAUUCAACAGCAACCCCGACUAAUUAGCAGAAAGAUCUUUAAAGAGGAACAAAAAAAAAUGGAUCCAAUCAACUUGAAGAAUAUGCUUCAUUCUCCGAGAGAUCUCAAAUAUAUUUUAGUUCUUUGGAGAUUGAUUCAUGUAGGGCAUGAGGACAAAGCCAGUUACUCAAAGCAGAGCUUGGAUCUUCUUUAGACACACAAACUGGAUGUCUGUCUUCGAUGAGCUGAAUUUAGUGUAAGACUUUCCAUUUGCAGUCAAAGGUAUACAUGCCACUCAGACGUACAGGUCUCUUUUAUCUAUAGAUCUAUGACAGCCAACCCUUAGCUUUUCAGUUGGCUUCCUUAAUGUGUGUGUAGCCUCUCCCACAUUUUCUAAUGAUGCAUAUUGAAGUUCCAUAUUGCUUGAAGAAAGUAUCGUAUUCACAGUACAGAUAGAAUAAGUAACUGUACUCAGUGUUGUGCAAGGUAAUACCUCUUCCCCAUUUCCUUUGUCAAGGUGUUAUUCUUAGUGUUCAUUGUUCAUUGGUCCUUUAAGCAGGAGCUCCAGAUUUAACUUGAGGGCUAUAAGCACAUUAGAAGAAUAAUUCCCCUUGGAUACUGUACAGAAGGAGCCACCUGCAAAAUGUUGAUGCUGUUAUUGAAGUCUCAAGUGGAAUCAGCUUUCAAAAAAUUAGAUAUUAGAUACAUCCGAUAUAAUUUGCAAUCUGUAAUUAUACUAAUGUGCAUAGAGCUGCACGUUGCUUUACAUGUAGCCUACUUGAGUUUGUUGCCCACCCCCACCCUUGGGCAUGUCUCAUCACUUGCAAUUGCUCCUGAGUAGAAUGCUUUUUAAGCCAGCUUAUUUUUUGUAAUUCCUUGUUAAUUAAUAUAAGAAUAAAAGGACUUUGCAGCCGGUGUGCUUGUGUGAGAAUGAAAGCGAAAAACCUGGAUGGUGAAAACUAAUGAUCCCUCGAAGGGUUGUCACUGGAGACACUGGAAUUCUUUGCAAAACAUUCGCAAUUCUUUGUGGAUUUGUUCUUUAUCCUGACUUCGGAUAACUUGGACGCAUGGAGAACAUCAGAGUAGUAGAUAUCACUUAGAAGGAGUACAUUUCCUUUGUUGGAAUUAGAGAAAUGACAUUAGGCAGAGAUAAUAGGUUUUAACUUAAUCAAAAUAAUCAAACCAUUAACAAUAAUAAACAAUUCCUUUUCUGCUUUUCCCCUCCAUUUUGCAUGUCACGUGAUGAGUAACUGGAACUCUUGUGUACUAACUUCAGUUCCCUUUUGGGGCCUCAACGUGAUUCCAGAGAUCUACUGAUGGCUCCCCUGGGGAGCCUUCUCCAGCAAGCUCCCCCGUGAAGAUCUACCUACUAAGAAAAAAAAAAAAACCCAGGCAGAAGCACAGUGAGUUGGCUGGUCAGUCUGGCACUUGGCUGUAUGCAGUAGGUGAUGAGAUUGUCAAGACAAACUUGGAGAAUUAUUACUGAGCAAGGCAAUGUAAGGGUCUCCCUUGUAUUUCUUCUGCAUUCAAAUUACAAAAAGGAUCCCAAGAGACUCUUAUGUUGAGUAGAAGACCCCAUUCCACUACUCGAUGCAAUUUGGUAGGUAUAGAACCAAAAAAAACAAAGCUGAUCUGCAAAAUUUUUAACUCAUGACAAACUCGUGAAAUCUGUCCAUUCUCCUACUGUCUGCUGCAUAUUCAUUCCUCAAAUUUUUUAAAUUUUAUUUAUAGUAUAUAAAAGCCGUUUUUGCAUGGGUUGGGUCUGUGUAACUCCAAAGCAAUGUGUAGCUUGUUUUUUAUCUUCUCACAUAUUCUUGAACUUUCCAUUAUUCACUACCUAUAUGAAUCAUAAAAGUACUAUAUACAGUGUCCUUUUAUAAUACAAUAUCAUGCUAAUUUAUUCACAAAUGAAUAUUGCAUGUAUGCCAAAAGCUUAGCAUCCCAUCUUCGAUAUCAUUGUUUAUAAAAUACAUUGCCCAUUAACAAUAUUUAAAAGUAAGUCAUUCUACCAGUUAGAUCUCUCCUCUGGAGAACCAGCAUCCCCAGCAUACUCUUAUUUAGUGCAGUGAUGUGUCCUGGUACAUUCCAUUCAGUGUACCUAGCUCAUUGAUGCAAUUUCAUUGUGUGAGUAUAAUGGAGAAGCUGAUGUCAAAGGUUUUAGUUAAAUUAAAACCACCUGUAAAGCACAUCUCAUUCACAACAGCUCCUGCAGAGUAAGAGAGUAACAUUAAUACCUCUCUUCUCAAAUAUCCUUAUCUGUGAAGUGAGUGGGUCAGACCAGGAAGGUUCUCAGUUCUUACAGCUCUCAGAGUUGUUGAAGCUAUUUUACAGUGUGGGGCCAAUCGAACAAGGCCAGAACCCAUGAACCCAGAGUCUGUUGGUAUCAGUUGCCCUUCAACGUUACAUCUGAUUCUGCCUCCCGGGUUUAGUAUUUACUAAUCUGUUUUGCCCUGUUGAGAAAGCACAAAAGAUUGGAGUUCACUUUCAGGAAGGGAUGGUGACUGAAAAAACACCAGCCUAGGGGCAAAAAUCAAAGAAAACGGAAACCAAAAUAAGGCUAUCCAGUGGGGGAAGUGAAUUCUUCAUCCCAGUUGUAAACCCACAUCCUUCAACGUUGACUUGGAAGAUUCCCAGACAGACACCCACCUUCCUGUUUAGGCCACACCCUGUCCCCAAGCCCUUCUGCUUGCCUGUCAUCCCUUGGAGUGCGGUUUCUUCUCUCCAUUGGAUCGAUGCCUUUAAGUUUUGUGUUUCCUGUUCCUCUUGGUUCAUUGGGAUUGUGGUAAUACUCCUUUCAGGAGCCUACAAUGGUUGCUCGACCACAACACACUUCCCAAAUGAAACACUGACAUGUUCAAAGCCACCUGGAAAGGGCCCCACCUCAUUUUUCUCCAACCACCCAGCAGGUAGAAGCCCUUCUUAAAUCAGACUUGACGCCCCAGUCUUGACGCCUUUAAUAUGCUUACAGCUGACUAAUUUUCUUCCUGUGUGCCCCAGUGUUCGGUAACUCUCACCUUCCUUCAUUACUUUCUCCUUCCUUUCCUUUCUCCUAUUUUCUCUCCUCUUCCCCCCACUUCCCCUCCCUCCUUCCAUCCACACACUUUUCUUUCUUCUUUCUUUCUUUUUCCUUUUCUUUCCCUUUCUCUUUCUUACUAAUCCUGCUCUCCCUCCUUCCCUUUCUCCGUCUCUUUUUCUUUACGUACCAUGCACCAAGUUCUGUGCGAGGUACUAGAAAGACCAAGAUAAUUUCAAGGGGUCAGCAAUUAGCACCCAGUAAUUCCAGUGCUUUCCUUCACUCCUGCAUGCUGAGCAGUUAUGCACUGACAACCAACCUAGAUCAUCUUCAUUCCCAGGACUUAUUUCAAUGUGCCCUGGACCCUGCAGUCCUUUGAUCUCUGCCUGUGUGUCCUGCUUCAGUGAGGGUAGACUCGAAGCACUCCUUCAAGUAGGACUCUCUCAUCCACACUGGGACGAGACCACUACUUAACUGAUCCUUGAGCAAGGGGAACAAUGAAAGAGAGCUGCUUUUUGUUGUCCGAGUGAUGUAGCAUUUCUGCUGGAGUUAGAAAUAGCAUUGUCUCUAAGGUGCCACUAAUUCAUUUCCUUUAAACAGUCAAUGUGGUAACUGUCUGUGACGUGUUCUAUUAUCUUUUCAGUUGUACUGAUGUUGCUUUCAGCUGGUCCUAUAGCCCCCUUUCUCAGGAAUGUCUCCCCGGGGAAAGGACAAAGACGGCAGAGACUGCUAGACUGAUGGACCGCUCAUGCCAACUGUGAAGUUGAAACAAAGCAACUGACCACCUGAAGAGACCCCUCCUGCACAGCAGCCACCCACAUGGUGCAGUGGCAGCCAAUAGUAAUCUUUGCAAGAAACAGAAAAACCCAGACCAUCCACGAGUCAAAAGCUUUCCCUUCCUUGUGUGUAUUCGUCUGUCUGUGUUCAGAUUCACAUGCCAUGUAUUUUUGAUGCUAGUAUGGACAUGCUUGUUAGUGCAGUUGUGUAAAGGCAACUUUGCCCAAGUGUGUUAAUGUAUGAAAAGACUGAAUUUUCUGGGAAGACUGAUUUUUAUCAAGAUACAGUAUUGGUUCCUGAGAGAGAUCUAGAAAGUGAAAGACAAUGUCACCACAGGUGACCCACAGAGACCUCAUGCCUCCACGCAGAAACACCACAUCCUGCCCCCAGACUCUGAGUGGCAAGCUUGGCUCUGUGACGUAUGACAGCUGCUUCCAAGGGUGGAAAUCAAACUGGACAAGGGUACAUAAGCUACCUAAAAUGUAGUGAUAAACUGAGUCAGUAGACAAUAAGAACAGAAACAAAACCAAAGACAAUGUUCUAAGAAGAGGCCAAAUUGGUUUGCCUAAGGGAGAAUAUUGCCCUAAAGAGAAAAUAUGAAAGGAACCUUAAAGGGUGUUAAAAAAAAAUACAUAAAUGGGAAGGUAGGAGAAAAUAGAGGCCUGAAGGUGGACAUAAUAGUAUGCAAGGGCAUGGCAGAGGAAAUCCAUGUAGUGAAUUUUGGAGAUAGCAAAUCCUAUUAACUUGACUCCACUCAACACUCAGCAUCCCUCUCUGUGUGUCUUGUAAAGAUGGUGCACACCUGUAUUUUCCCUCUCCCACCCCAGAAGUCACCUAAACCAAACUAGAACUGAAAAGUCAGUUCUCUGACACUAGAAGGGUGAAGGCAAUUGGUGGCACCUGUGUAGAACUCAUGAUUCUUCUGUUUGUAAUUGCUAGUUACCAAGUUUAUUCCUUAUAGGAAAUACUUUGCAUAAUGAAUCUCAGGAGAGCUCUGAAAAAUUACACAUUGUUCCCACUUCCUAGGUGAUGAAACUGAUUUUGAUGAGGUUAUGUGCCUGGCCAAGGUGCUAUGUGUGGCUAUGAACAUUCAAGGUUGUGGUCACAAAGCUCAUGAGCUGGAGCCUGAAGUCAGACUUUGUGAUCAGUACCCACACUGAAGUCACUUUCCCCACAGCCCUUACUGUCUGUCCACGGAAACAAAUAGCCCUUCUGCUUACUUAUGGCCUCAAUGCUCUCCACUUUUGUAUAUGAAUUACACCAGAAUGAUAAAAUGUGUUUUCACGACAGAAAAUUGAGAAUUUAGUGGAGGAGAGCCUGUCAGCAUUUAGACAUUUCCUUUUGAUUUUGGUCAGACAUCAUGAAACUUUUGACUUAGUUCUACAAAAAAACCCAAAAGUUUUAAGAGCAGUGGCCUUAAGCUCCCUGUCACAAUAUCUUUUUGACAGAAAACAUAGAUCUAUAGUCUGUAAGCAGAGUAACUUAGAAAAAUAAAAACCAACCAACCCAAACAAACAAACAAAACAAAACAAACCACAUAUUUGGAAGUGUCCCAGCAAGGAACAGAUACAAGGCCCUCAGUUAUCUUUUCAUUGGCCUUUGAACUACUCCCUCCUGCCCUAAAGAAACAUGAACUUCUAUUUGAUUAAAGAAGGUAUUCUGUCUAUAUGAUCAAGGAAUGCCUCAUAGACUGGAUCUAGUAGAUCUCUCCAGUUCCUUCCCUCUUUAACACCUCAUGUCAUUGUGAAAUACAGCUAUGAACUAGUGUAUUUGGGUCAAGAAGUUGUCAAUGAUCUGUCCCCAAAGAAUACAGAAUAGCUACAGUUGUGUGUUUGCUAUAUCUUUAAUGAUAUUCCCAAUCAUGAAGUCACUGUUCACCUGUACAGAUCCAAUCUCCCAUUGUACAUCUUCUCAACUCACUUGACCAAUGGUCAAUUUUUGCAAAUGUUGUGAAUGCUUAUCCAUGACUAUUUCAGCAAUACUGAAAUAUUAACAAUGACCACUGGUCAUUUUGUGUUGUAAUCCUUUUUUAUGCAUGUAACUAAUUCAAGAAUCCUUUGGCCAUAAGAAACUAGAACUAAAAAUCCCGUUCUUGCUUCCAGCCACUCUGCAUUUGAUUGACAUUUAGCAGUGAUUAAUACAGUGGCCAUCUAGAUACCAUAGAUGUCUAAAUUGUGAUUUUUUUUUUUGUCUGAAAGGAGAUGGUUAAGCUGGCUCUGCUAAGGGACAAACGUCUAACUUUUUGAGAUACCUGGAUAUUUAACUGUUGUAACUUUCUACUUAGCUGUUUGACAUUUCAUAAGCAAUCCCCGUCAUGGCUCUGGCUGUCUUGUUUUUUUCAAAGUACUUGUUGGCUCUGUCUUACACUGUUCUCACUGACUUUAUAAGUAAACAGGUUUGCUGUUACCGAGUAGCCCAAGCACAAAGUGUGACUUCGUUGACAUUUUAUGAGUUCUUGACUCCCAAUAAAAGAAAUGUUGCAUUAA